rnacentral:rRNA from 1 species
AGUGAACGCUGGCGGUAGGCCUAACACAUGCAAGUCGAACGGCAGCACAGUAAGAGCUUGCUCUUACGGGUGGCGAGUGGCGGACGGGUGAGGAAUACAUCGGAAUCUACUUUUUCGUGGGGGAUAACGUAGGGAAACUUACGCUAAUACCGCAUACGACCUACGGGUGAAAGCAGGGGAACUUCGGACCUUGCGCGAUUGAAUGAGCCGAUGUCGGAUUAGCUAGUUGGCGGGGUAAAGGCCCACCAAGGCGACGAUCCGUAGCUGGUCUGAGAGGAUGAUCAGCCACACUGGAACGGAGACACGGUCCAGACUCCUACGGGAGGCAGCAGUGGGGAAUAUUGGACAAUGGGCGCAAGCCUGAUCCAGCCAUACCGCGUGGGUGAAGAAGGCCUUCGGGUUGUAAAGCCCCUUUGUUGGGAAAGAAAAGCAGCAGGUUAAUACCCCGCUGUUCUGACGGUACCCAAAGAAUAAGCACCGGCUAACUUCGUG